rnacentral:rRNA from 1 species
GACGAACCGUCCGAACGUUAUUCGGAAUUACUGGGCUUAAAGGGUGCGUAGGCGGCCCUGUAAGUUGGGUGUGAAAUCCCUCGGCUCAACCGAGGAAUUGCGCCCAAAACUACAGGGCUUGAGGGAGACAGAGGUGAGCGGAACUUGCGGUGGAGCGGUGAAAUGCGUUGAUAUCGCAAGGAACACCAGGGGCGAAAGCGGCUCACUGGGUCUCUUCUGACGCUGAGGCACGAAAGCGAGGGGAGCGAACGGGAUUAGAUACCCCGGUAGUCCUAGCCGUAAACGCUGUGCACUAGAUCGGAGAGUACUCCAUAGCUUUCCGGUCGUAGCGAAAGUGUUAAGUGCUCCGCCUGGGGAGUAUGGUCGCAGGGCUGAA